AUAACCUCAUAUUUUCUUUAAAAUAUUUUAGUGUUUUCUUUUUUUUUGCCAUUUCAUAUUAACUUUAUUUUUUUUGUGAGCUUAGAGAUUUAUUUCUGCUCAUUGAGAUCUUUUAUUUUUUCUAUUUUUUAUUUUAUUAUUAUUAUUUUUAAUAGUUAUUUCCCCAAUACAAUUUUUUUUUCUACCGUACGGCAUGGUGAUCCAGUUACACAUAAUGUACACAUUCUUUUUUUUAAAACUACUUAAUGAAUUUUAUUACAUUUAGAGGUGUACAACAAUCAUCACAACCAAAUUUUAUGGCAUUUCCAUCCCAAACCCUCUGUAUAUCCGCCUACCCCACAAUCUGUCUCAACUGGAAACCGUAAGGUUUUCAGUCUGUGAGGCAGUAUCUGUUCUGCAAAGAAGUUCAGUCUGUCCUUUUUUCACAUGUCAGUGAAAGCAUUUGAUGUUGGUGUCUCAUUGUCUGAUUGACUUCACUUAGCAUGAAAAUUUCUAGGUCCAUCCAUGUUGCUAAAAAUGCUGGUAUUUUGUUCCUUUUAAUGGCUGAGUAAUAUUCCAUUGUUUAUAUGUACCACUUCUUCCUGAGCCACUCCUCUGUCAAUGGACAUUUAAGUUGUUUCCAUGUCUUGGCUAUUGCAAAUAGUGCUGAAAAUGAACUGUAGGUACAUGUGUCCUUGCGAGUCGUGGUUUUCUCUGGAUAGAUGCCCAGGAGUGGGAUUGCUGGUUCAAAUGGGAGUUCUAUUUUUAGUUUUCUGAGGCAUCUCCAUACUGUUUUCUACAGGGGCUGCACCAAUUCACAAUCCCACCAACAGUGUACUAGGGUUCCUUUUUCUCCACACCCUCUCCAGCACUUAUUGUUUGUAGACUUUUGGAUGAUGGCCAUUCUAGCUGGUGUAAGGUAGUACCUCAUAGUGGUUUUGAUGUGCAUUUCUCUGAUAAAGAGUGAUGUUGAACAUCUUUUCACGUGCUUUUUGGCCAUCCAUAUGUCUUCUUUGGAGACUUGUCUGUUUAGAUCUUCUGCCCAUUUUUUGAUGGGGUGGUUUGUUUUUUUGGUAUGGAGCUACAGAAGGUGUUUAUAAAUUGUGGAGAUGAAUCCCUUGUCAGUCAAUUCAUUUGUAAAAAGAUUUUCUCCCAUUCUGUGGGCUGUCUUUUCAUUUUGUUUAGGGUUUCCCUUGCUGUGCAGAAACUUUUAAGUUUGAUUAGGUCCCAUUUGUUUAUUUUUGUUUUUACUGUCAUUACUCUCAGAGGUGAAUCUGAGAUGUUGCUGUGGUUUAUGUCAGAGAGUGUUUGGCCUAUGUUUUCCUCUAAGAGUUUUAUAGUGUCUGGUCUUAUAUCUAGGUCUUUAAUCCAUUUUGAGUUUAUGUAUGUAAUGGUGUUAGGAAGUUUUCUAAUUUCAUUCCUUUCCAUGUGGCUGUCCAGUUUUCCCAGCACCACUUAUUGAAGGGGCUGUCUUUUCUCCAUUGUAUAUUCUUGCCUCCUUUGUCAUAGAUUAGUUGACUGUAGGUGCAUGGGUUUAAUUCUGGGCUUUCUAUCCUAUUCCACUAAUCUAUAUUUCCAUCUUUGUGCCAGAACCAUAUAGUUUUGAUGACUGUAGCUUUGUAGUAUAGUCUGAAAUCGGGGAGCCUGAUUCCUCCAGCUCCAUUUUUCUUUCUCAAGAUGGCUUUGGUUAUCCUGGGUCUUUUGUGCUUCCAAACAAACUUUAAAAUAUUUUGUUUGAGUUCUGUGAAAAAUGUCCUGGGUAAUUUGAUAGGGAUUGCAUAGAUUGCCUUGGGUAGUAUAGUCAUUUUCAUAAUAUUGACUCUUCCAAUCCAAGAGCAUGGAAUGUCUUUCCAUCUAUUUGUGUCAUCUUUGAUUUCUUUCAUCAGUAUCUUGUAGUUUUCAGAAUACAGGUCUUUUGUCUCUUUAGGUAGAUUUAUUCCUACGUAUUUUAUUCUUUUUGAUGUGAUGGUAAAUGGGAUCAUUCCCCUAAUUUCUCUUUCUGAUCUUUCAUUGUUAGUGCAUAGAAAUGCCAUCAAUUUCUGUGUAUUAAUUUUGUAUCCUGCAACUUUGCCAAAUUCAUGGAUGAGCUCUAACAGUUUUUUCUGGUAGUGUCUUAACAUUCUCUAGGUAUAGUAUCAUGUCAUGCAAAUAGUGAUAGUUUUACUUCUUCCUUUCCAAUUUGGAUUCCUUUGAUUUCUUUUACUUCUCUGAUUGCUGUGGCUAGGACUUCCAAAACUAUGUUGAAAAGCAGUGGCAAGAGUGGAUAUCUUUGUCUUGUUUCUGAUCUCAGUGGGAAUUCCUUCAGCUUUUCACCAUUGAGAAUGAUGUUAGCUCUGGGUUUACCAUAUAUGGGUUUUAUUAUGUUGAGGUAUGUUCCCUCUAUGCUCACUUUCUGAAGGGUUUUUAAUCAUAAAUGGGUGUUGGAUUUUGCCAAAGGCUUUUUCUGCAAAAAACUUAAGACUUUUGAUUCAAAUGUAACUGGCUGAGUCCUGACUUUGGAAAAAUGCAUAUUUCUGGCAAGAUUAUAUACCAUACCAAUAGUUCUAUUUCCCACAUAUGAGGUUGGGAGAAAGAUGAAUAUAUGCAAAAUAUCCAAGAAUAUUACUAAAGUAUGAAUGCAUUGUUUCUGUAGGAAUUACUAGCUCUAAAUAAAAUGAACAGAAAGCAAAUAUUAAGACAGGUGACAAAGGAGGGCAGGAACUCUGGGAUCAAUACUAUUUUACUAUACUAUUAAAUCCAAAUGGGUAAGUUAACUGUCUGAGAAUGUGAAUUUUAAAUGCUAAAUUAAGGCCUGAAAAAGAACAAAUACUCUGCAAAGGAAAUGUUAAUAACAAUAUUAUAUAUUAUAAAUAUGUAGCUAUCUCAACAAAAUAUAGAGGUUAAGCAUGAAGGUGAGCAUGAGCACGUGAAGAAAGUAAGAAAGUAACAUUUUCUAAACAUCUCCUAUUCAUGUGGAAGGGAAAAGAAGAGAAGAACAGGAAGAAAUAAAUUUAUUUCUCAGAACCUAUUUUACUGCAGAUGAGAACAGGUCUUGGGGAAAAGAAAGUAAAACGUUUUGAGGUAUAUAAGAGUGAGGAAAUACCUAGCAUUUUCUUUUCUAAUCUUUACAGAGGAAUAUGUGCCUGAUUAUGCUAAUAGGAUAAGGAGGACCAUGUCAAUAAAAUGGUAAAUAAUAGUAUUACUUUCAAAUUUACAAGGACAAAAUUGAAUGAAAACAAUAUGUAUUAAAGAUAUUUAUUCCUAAUAUGUAAAAUAUACUUAAAAUCAAUAAUAAAAGAAUAAUUAUUUAAAAUGAAAGGAUUUGACCCUUUAAAAAAACUGAACAAAACAUUCACAAAAUAGCAUAUACAAGUUAAUAAAACUUGGAAAUUUGAUCGACAUUUUUUCCAUCACAGAAAUGAAAAUUGAAACUCAAUGGACCAUUCCAUCCUAUUAAAAG
rnacentral:lncRNA from 1 species